rnacentral:tRNA from 1 species
UUCCUGGUGGUCUAGAGGUUAAGACUCUACGCUUCCAAUGCAGGGGGUGCAGGUUCAAUACCUGGUUGGGGAA